UACGUAGGGGGCAAGCGUUGUCCGGAAUUAUUGGGCGUAAAGAGCGCGUAGGCGGUCCGGUAAGUCGGCUGUGAAAGUCAAGGGCUCAACCCUUGAAAGCCGGCCGAUACUGUCGGACUAGAGUCCGGAAGAGGCGAGUGGAAUUCCCGGUGUAGCGGUGAAAUGCGCAGAUAUCGGGAGGAACACCGAUGGCGAAGGCGAGGUCGUCUGGGCCAUAACUGACGCUGAGAAGCGAAAGCAUGGGGAGCGAACGAGG
rnacentral:rRNA from 1 species